AAACACAUUCGACACAAACUGAGCUCCCCAACUACUACUCCCUUUCGUCUUCACAAACUCCAUACACGUUACAUAACCUACUUCUCCUCGGACAUGAACCUCGACAUCUUUCAGCUCAAUCAGUAACGGAAACUCAUAGUUCAUCCACACAAGCUCCCAGCUUUCCAUCACG